GAUAAACGCUGGCGGCGUGCUUCAGGCAUGCAAGUCGAACGCCCCGAUUUAUCGGGGAGUGGCGGACGGGUGAGUAACACGUAAGCAACCUGCCCAGAAGUGGGGAAUAACCCGCCGAAAGGCGAGCUAAUACCGCAUGUGAUGGCUUUUCCUCGGGAGGGUCAUCAAAGGCUUCGGUCGCUUUUGGAGGGGCUUGCGUUCGAUUAGUUAGUUGGUGGGGUAACGGCCUACCAAGACUGCGAUCGAUAGCUGGUCUGAGAGGACGGUCAGCCACACGGGGACUGAGAUACGGCCCCGACUCCUACGGGAGGCAGCAGCUAGGAAUCUUGGGAAUGGGCGAAAGCCUGACCCAGCAACGCCGCGUGGGCGAUGAAGGCCUUCGGGUCGUAAAGCCCUUUUGCGGGGGACGAUGAUGACGGUACCCCGCGAAUAAGCCACGGCUAACUACGUGCCAGCAGCCGCGGUAAUACGUAGGUGGCAAGCGUUGUCCGGAUUUACUGGGCGUAAAGGGCGUGCAGGCGGUUCGUUAAGUUCGAGGUGAAAGCUCCCGGCUCAACUGGGAGAGGUCCUUGGAUACUGGCGGACUUGAGGGAGGCAGAGGAAAGUGGAAUUCCCGGUGUAGUGGUGAUAUGCGUAGAUAUCGGGAGGAACACCAGUGGCGAAGGCGGCUUUCUGGGCCUUACCUGACGCUGAGACGCGAAAGCGUGGGGAGCGAACCGGAUUAGAUACCCGGGUAGUCCACGCCGUAAACUAUGGACACUAGGUGUGGGGGGUAUCGACCCCCUCCGUGCCGAAGCUAACGCAAUAAGUGUCCCGCCUGGGGAGUACGGCCGCAAGGCUAAAACUCAAAGGAA
rnacentral:rRNA from 1 species